UCUCUCUCUCUCUCUCUCUCUCUCGCUCGCUCAUUUGGGCGGGCCUAGCUCGUUCAUGUUCGUGUUUCCAUAGGCAGGUGUCAGGGUCGACCCCCACGAGGAGACACGCGACUUCAGCAGAGCACAGACCCUGCGCAGGAGGGCGCCACAGCCAGCACGGCCACACGUCUGGUCUACAUCUUCCAGGCCGCACGGUCGAACCAGUCGCUGGGAACCGAGAAUUCGACAAGAAGAAGAAGAAAAGACAGAGAGAAACCGAGAAAAAAACACGUGAAAGAAUAUGUAAUUACAACAUAAUAGAGGAAUGUAAAAACAAAGGAAGGCCUGCUUUAUCAGGUGAUGUUUUCCCCAGUUUUAUACAUCAUUACGGUGAAAGUAAACUGUUUAUAUGUCUUGUAAGGGAGACCAAAAUAAACACGAGACAUUUGAAUGUAGUUAUU
rnacentral:lncRNA from 7 species